UAGAGUUUGAUCCUGGCUCAGGAUGAACGCUAGCUACAGGCUUAACACAUGCAAGUCGAGGGGAAACGGCAUUGAGUGCUUGCACUCUUUGGACGUCGACCGGCGCACGGGUGAGUAACGCGUAUCCAACCUUCCCAUUACUGUGGGAUAACCUGCCGAAAGGCCGACUAAUACCGCAUAGUCUUCGAUGACGGCAUCAGAUUUGAAGUAAAGAUUUAUCGGUAAUGGAUGGGGAUGCGUCUGAUUAGCUUGUUGGCGGGGUAACGGCCCACCAAGGCGACGAUCAGUAGGGGUUCUGAGAGGAAGGUCCCCCACAUUGGAACUGAGACACGGUCCAAACUCCUACGGGAGGCAGCAGUGAGGAAUAUUGGUCAAUGGACGGAAGUCUGAACCAGCCAAGUAGCGUGCAGGAUGACGGCCCUAUGGGUUGUAAACUGCUUUUGUAUGGGGAUAAAGUCAAUCACGUGUGAUUGUUUGCAGGUACCAUACGAAUAAGGACCGGCUAAUUCCGUGCCAGCAGCCGCGGUAAUACGGAAGGUCCAGGCGUUAUCCGGAUUUAUUGGGUUUAAAGGGAGCGUAGGCUGGAUAUUAAGUGUGUUGUGAAAUGUAGACGCUCAACGUCUGACUUGCAGCGCAUACUGGUUUCCUUGAGUACGCACAACGUUGGCGGAAUUCGUCGUGUAGCGGUGAAAUGCUUAGAUAUGACGAAGAACUCCGAUUGCGAAGGCAGCUGACGGGAGCGCAACUGACGCUUAAGCUCGAAGGUGCGGGUAUCAAACAGGAUUAGAUACCCUGGUAGUCCGCACAGUAAA
rnacentral:rRNA from 1 species